UUCCGAGUGAUCCACUGGCUUCAUUGCUUCCAUAUCAAGAAUUUCACCAGCACCUUGAUGUUCAGAAUCCAAAUUAGGACUAGAUUGAGCAGUAGGUUGUAAUUCAAUAAGAGGAAUAACCUUUUUGGUUGUACUUUCAGGUGGCAUGUCUACAGCUCCAUUCUGAUUCUCAGGUGAUGGCAGCUCUUUGGGGACACUUUGAAUUAUCAUGUCUUGCAAACAAGAGUCUUUGGCAUACUCUGAUUCACAUGUUUCAGUUUCUGAAUUGCUUGAUUCCUUCCCAAUAUUAUCAGCAAAGAGAAAUUCCAGAAAGGAUGACUUGUGCUGCAGUGAAUUCAAAUGUUCCAGGCAAACUGAAUUCCUGAAUUCCACAAAGAAACUAACUACUGAUUUCAAGAAGCUGCAUACAUCCAU
rnacentral:misc_RNA from 1 species